ncrna:unclassified sequences TwoGGAY RNA
CUUGAAGUUUGAUUGUGAUAGUUCUUAGUCUUUCCCUUAGUCAACCAGCUAGCUUCGUACACGGAUGUACGAAGCAGCGAAGCCGCGCCAUGGACGGCGCGUCUGAGCGGUAGCGUCAGUUAUCAUAGUUUAUAUGGAAAGACUUAGAAAUAUCCAAUCAAAGCUUCUG